GGCCCUUUAGCUCAGUUGGUUAGAGCACCCGACUCAUAAUCGGUAGGUCCCCAGUUCAAGUCUGGGAGGGGCCA
rfam:Lacimicrobium alkaliphilum strain YelD216, complete genome.